UGUGCAAGUGAUGAUAAAAUAGACAGGGACAUCAGCACUCCUCAAUGGAGUAUGAUGAUUUGUCUUCGGGAAUCUCUCUGAUGCACA